rnacentral:lncRNA from 1 species
ACUUACAGUCAGACGUUUUGUAAAUGUCGGAGCUGGACCACGAGAGAGUCCUGGACUGAUGGCUCCAGCACACGAUCACUUAGCCACAGGCUGGAGUUGUUAUGCGCAGCACCUUGGCUUGCUUUCCCUAAGCACACCUCAAAUUGAAAGGGAGGUAAAGCCUCAUCAGUGAAACAGGCAAAUGCUGGGGUAGUGAGUCAUCUCCAGCUCUGAGAAGGGGAAAUGCCUAGAGCAAGGGCUACAGCCUUAACAGCCCCACCAGUUCCCAGUUCCAAUAUUGUUUCCUGGAAUGAACUUUUACAACCAGGAAGAAGCUAUUUAAAACCUUCAUUACGAUACUUUAGCAUCUCACCAUGAAGGAUAUUUAAAAGCAAAAUGACCUGAAGCAGGUGUGAGUAAUCUGUGGAUAGAACAGAGCUCUGCUCCAGGCGCAAGCACUGCUGUAGGUAAAGUGCUGAAGAAGAGGAAGACUACAGGCUAUUUAUCCAUGGCGGCAGCACAGCUUGGGGCAAGGCAGAGCUAAGACGACCCCUCUGUCUUUGUGAAGAUGCCAGAGGAAACCACCAAAGCCCCCCGGUACAUAGUUGUAUAUUCUUCGUUGUGGGUCCUUCUAGUUGUGGCAUGUGGGACACCGCCUCAGCGUGGUUUGAUGAGCAGCGCCAUGUCCGCACCCAGGAUUCAAACCAACGAAACACUGGGCUGCCUGCAGCGGAGCACCCGAACUUAACCACUCGGCCACGGGGCCAGCCCCAACAGUAGUAUUUUUGAUGGUAUUGCUACGUGAAGACUCUCUCCUUUGCUGGUUUUGAUGAAGCAUGCAGCCAUUUAUGAGAGGCCAAGAAACCAAGGGCAGCCUCCAGCCAAGAACCAGCUGAGGGUGGCCCCUAGCUGACAAUCAGCAAGACGUUGAGGCCACCCGCCCUACAACACCAAGGAACUGAAUUCUACUAACAACUGCACGAAUUUGAAAGUGGGUUGUUCCCCAGUUGAACCUUGAGAUGAGACCAUCAGGCCAACCAACAAUCUCAUUGAAGUCACAUGAAAUCUGGAAGCAGAAGAUCUGACUAAACUGUGCCCACACACCUAACCACAGAAACUGUGUAUUAAUAAAUGUGUGUUGUUUUAAACCAACGUCUUUGUGGCAAUAUUGCUACCCAACAAUAAAUAACUAAUAAACAGUCCAAGAAUCAACUCACGAAUUUCUU